CAGCAGCCACGGUAAUGCGUAGGUGGCAAGCGUUGUCCGGAAUUAUUGGGCGUAAAGGGCUCGCAGGCGGUUUCUUAAGUCUGAUGUGAAAGCCCCCGGCUCAACCGGGGAGGGUCAUUGGAAACUGGGAAACUUGAGUGCAGAAGAGGAGAGUGGAAUUCCACGUGUAGCGGUGAAAUGCGUAGAGAUGUGGAGGAACACCAGUGGCGAAGGCGACUCUCUGGUCUGUAACUGACGCUGAGGAGCGAAAGCGUGGGGAGCGAACAGGAUUAGAUACCCCGGUAGUCCCUGUCUCUUAUAC
rnacentral:rRNA from 1 species